AGUGAACGCUGGCGGUAGGCCUAACACACGCAAGUCGAACGGCAGCACAGUAAGAGCUUGCUCUUACGGGUGCGAGUGGCGGACGGGUGAGGAAUACAUCGGAAUCUACUUUUUCGUGGGGGAUAACGUAGGGAAACUUACGCUAAUACCGCAUACGACCUACGGGUGAAAGCAGGGGAUCUUCGGACCUUGCGCGAUUGAAUGAGCCGAUGUCGGAUUAGCUAGUUGGCGGGGUAAAGGCCCACCAAGGCGACGAUCCGUAGCUGGUCUGAGAGGAUGAUCAGCCACACUGGAACUGAGACACGGUCCAGACUCCUACGGGAGGCAGCAGUGGGGAACAUUGGACAAUGGGCGCAAGCCUGAUCCAGCCAUACCGCGUGGGUGAAGAAGGCCUUCGGGUUGUAAAGCCCUUUUGUUGGGAAAGAAAAGCAGCAGGUUAAUACCCCGCUGUUCUGACGGUACCCAAAGAAUAAGCACCGGCUAACUUCGUG
rnacentral:rRNA from 1 species